UAGGGAAUCUUCGGCAAUGGGGGCAACCCUGACCGAGCAACGCCGCGUGAGUGAAGAAGGUUUUCGGAUCGUAAAGCUCUGUUGUAAGAGAAGAACGUGUGUGAGAGUGGAAAGUUCACACAGUGACGGUAACUUACCAGAAAGGGACGGCUAACUACGUGCCAGCAGCCGCGGUAAUACGUAGGUCCCGAGCGUUGUCCGGAUUUAUUGGGCAUAAAGCGAGCGCAGGCGGUUUAAUAAGUCUGAAGUUAAAGGCAGUGGCUUAACCAUUGUUCGCUUUGGAAACUGUUAAACUUGAGUGCAGAAGGGGAGAGUGGAAUUCCAUGUGUAGCGGUGAAAUGCGUAGAUAUAUGGAGGAACACCGGUGGCGAAAGCGGCUCUCUGGUCUGUAACUGACGCUGAGGCUCGAAAGCGUGGGGAGCAAACAGG
rnacentral:rRNA from 1 species